GACAGAGGGUGCAAACGUUGUUCGGAAUUACUGGGCGUAAAGCGCGUGUAGGCGGUUCGGUAAGUCUGCUGUGAAAGUCCAGGGCUCAACCCUGGGAUGCCGGUGGAUACUGUCGGACUAGAGUACGGAAGAGGCGAGUGGAAUUCCCGGCGUAGCGGUGAAAUGCGCAGAUAUCGGGAGGAACACCAAUUGCGAAGGCAGCUCGCUGGGACGUCACUGACGCUGAGACGCGAAAGCGUGGGGAGCAAACAGG
rnacentral:rRNA from 1 species